AACGAACGCUGGCGGCAUGCCUAACACAUGCAAGUCGAACGAGAUCUUCGGGUCUAGUGGCGCACGGGUGCGUAACGCAUGGGAAUCUGCCCUUUGGUUCGGAAUAACAGUUGGAAACGACUGUUAAUACCGGAUGAUGACGAAAGUCCAAAGAUUUAUCGCCAGAGGAUGAGCCCGCGUAGGAUUAGCUAGUUGGUGUGGUAAAGGCGCACCAAGGCGACGAUCCUUAGCUGGUCUGAGAGGAUGAUCAGCCACACUGGGACUGAGACACGGCCCAGACUCCUACGGGAGGCAGCAGUGGGGAAUAUUGGACAAUGGGCGAAAGCCUGAUCCAGCAAUGCCGCGUGAGUGAUGAAGGCCUUAGGGUUGUAAAGCUCUUUUACCCGGGAUGAUAAUGACAGUACCGGGAGAAUAAGCUCCGGCUAACUCCGUGCCAGCCGCCGCGGUAACAC
rnacentral:rRNA from 1 species